GUGUGUUCGGCCUUGUAUUUCCCUUCUGCAGAAAAAUCAAAACAGGUAUGAUUAUGAAAUCUCGAAACCAAUUCAUAGAUAAAGGUCAUGAGUGUCAUGAGGUCCUUGUUCUUGGCGCCGAAAAUGGGCAAUUGGGCGCCAAGGCAGGCCGUUGGCAUAAACAUGCUUGGCACGUUGAAAGAAAAUGUUAUCUUGAUGGCUUGUUGGCAAUGUUUGAUUUUAUUCUGUUAUAUUUUACCUUCAUCUGCGCCUUUUAAAGCAUGAGUGCCCCGUAUAGGAAUUGACUCUUUCAAGAAUCAGACUCCGAUCACGUAGCAGAACAUUUUAGUUGUUCAAAGCAAAUGAUUGAUUAGGCUACACUCCAAUUCAGGUUCCUCUAUUUCCUUGAAAUCUAUGAAUUGUAUCUGAUACAUUCUGCACAUUUGCUUUUCUUUUAUUAGUUCCUUCUACAUUGAGCCGAGGGUCUGUCAGAAACAGUCUCUCUACAUUCACCGGUGAGCCGAGGGUCUGUCAGAAACAGUCUCUCUACAUUCACCGGGUAGGGGUAAGGUAUGCGUACACGCUACCCUUCCCAAACCCCACUUAUGGGAUUAUCCCGGGUUUGUUAUUGCUGCUGCUGAUUAGUUCUUUCUGCACAUAGACUAUUAGGUCAUUCUGUGUCUGCGUCAUGCCACGAGCUAUUGUAGAGAUAUUGUACUCCUUUUGCAAAGUAUUAGUGGGUGUUCUCUUCUGACAUGACUGGAUGGGGUAAGUUUUCAGCUAAUUAUAUUCUUAGUGUUGCAUUAGUUACGCGGAGAUUAUAUUUUCUUAUAUGGCUAAUCAAACAUUGUAUUUGUUUAUGUGGGAUUUAGUACUUCUACUAUUUUAUCUUUAAUAACUUUGGAGAGAGUGUUGAGUUGAGAAUCGUUUAUUAGAAUACUUAUACUUUACAGGAAAAAACAAAGCAGAUACAGUCACAAUAAAUCAUUUGCACAUGUAAAAGAGUUGAACAGUCGCACCUAAAUGGCUUAACAUAUCUAAUGGAAGUACUAAAAUACUUUAUAUAAAAUUCAGGCUUCCACUUGUACUGAAUCUAACAUAAGAACUUUAGAUGCAGCUUUCCUUCAUUCUAGUUCUGAUAUCAUUGUCAACUCUUCGCUAGAAGGGCAUGCAAUCACUCCAGCUCCUACGUGGGUGGUGUAUCUUGCUGUAAAAGGAGGAGAAAUAGUUAGAUUGCUCCCAUCUCCUUCUAGCAUUUGCGUAACAACUUUGAUGGAAGGUCGAUCCGUUGCAUUCCAUUGUAUGCACCAAAGUCCUAUAAUAGCCAAUUUCCUUGCAAUUAUGAUAUCAUCAUCUUCCUCUAUCCUGAUUUUCAACUCUUCUCCUUCAUUCAAUUGUUGAUGAAUCCACUCAGAAAAGUUCACUUGGCUAUUACUGGCCUUUGCAUCAAAAUUCUUCCUCCCUCCAACCAUUUCAAGUAGCAGCAUACCAAAGCUAUAGACAUCAGAUUUAUGAGACGCUUUUCCAAAAUUGCUGGAGAAUACUUCUGGUGCAAUAUAACCCAUGGUUCCUCUAGCUUCAGUCAUGGUUACAACACUUUUCUCUUUAGAGCAUAACUUGGCAAGACCAAAAUCAGCAAUCUUUGGGUUCAAGUUAUGGUCUAACAGAAUAUUUUGGGGUUUGAUGUCAAAAUGAAGGAUUUGUUGGUCACAUCCUUGAUGAAGAUACUCCAGUCCUUUCGCUAUACCCAUAGCAAUAUCAUGAAGCUUCUUCCAAUUAAGGGUAAUGUGAUCUUUGGAACUUGCUGGAAAAAUGAGUUUGUCAAGCGACUGAUUUGGCAAAUAUUCAUACACGAGCGUUUCUGAAUCCAUCAGUGCAAUAGCCAACGAGGCGAAGCACAUUGAAGUGGUGGAUUUUCCCCAUUGCUGCAACUUCAUUAAUAAAUUCUUCCCCAUUUCGUAUGGAGUCAUUUAGCACUUUGACAGCAACAUGAAUUUCAUUAGAAAGUGUUCCUUUAUAAACAACCCCGUAUGCUCCCUCUCCCAAUCGUUCGUGAAACAUAUUUGUUAUCUUUAUAAUCUCUGCAUAAGUAUAUCUAGUAGGCCUGAGAGCUCUGUAGUCUUCCAGAAACUUCUCAACUCUAGCUUGAUUCUCUCUUUCAAUUUUGCUUGAGCUAUAAAACUCAUAGAGUGCUAACAGAAUAAUUCCCAAAAGAAGAAAUCCUAAUACUCCACCUGGAAGAUAUCAACUCGAUCAGACAUUAUACAAAAGGUAGAUGAAUAAGGGAAAUUCAAAAUAUGAGAACUAAAAGGCAAGAAGCACCAACCUGCAAUCAGUGGUUCCUUAAAUCCGCCUGUCAGAAUUACAUAAGAAAUCUUAUUAUGGCAAAAAGAGAAACAUUUAAUCAUCAAAUUUCAGAAAAUUCUUGUUACAGUAUCAAACAUGUAUUUACUAAGGGAGAGAUUUUAGAUUUUAAUUCGUAAGGGCAGUCACUUAAUUUUUUCUGUUUUGAACUUGUAAUGGUUCCGAUAUUUAAGUUAUAGUUACUAUAUCAAAUAUGUAUUUCAUUGUUAUGUUCUAGAAUUUGGUUUAGGCCAAAUUAAGGAUAUAUAUCGCAUCCAGAUAUAGGUUCUUUACUUUUUGGUAAAUUGCUUGCAUGCGGGGGGUUUUCCCCAUCAAUUUUAUACUUAUUUACCUUAUUAAAAAUUGAUAUCACAUCCAAAUCCAUUACCAUAUUCAAGAACCAGAUGGACUUGGAAAGCUGUAAAUUAAAUGUUUUGCUUAUGGUACAUUCACUUUUGAUAUUAUAUUUUAUCAAUUCUGCAAUCAAAAGAGAUCUUUCAAUGAGUUAAUACCUUUUGUAGUCGAUGGUCUGUCGAAACACUUAGUUCCCAGUGGGUUGCUAUAGUUCUUGAAACCACAAUCCAUUCCAAGACCUUCACAGUAGCCACACUUUGGAUUUAACCAACUCAUCCGGAAGGGGAAAGUGUAUUCUAGAACUCAGGGAACAGAUGGAAUUUCCGCAAUCUUUUUAUAAUGUAAAAGAUCAGUGUAGCCUUCCAAAGUAUUGAAAUUGCUGAGAACAAUUAAUCCAGAGUCAGAGGUGGCAGAGCAAUCCUGUGAGCCAAAGUCACCGUUUGAGAUACCAGAAGGACUAAAAAUGGAGAAGUUACAAAGAAGAGGCUCAUCAUUAAAGAGGAAAGGAGAUGCUGGAAAGUUAAAGUGCAAUAGGUUCACAGUACAACUUCCCGGACAAUAAACCCUAAUCUCCUGAGACGCAUAAUUAAUAUGCUCAACAAAUAGUAUAAGUGAAAUGGGAAGGGGAUUCACUAUUGCACCUAGACUCUUUGCAAUCAUUUGCUCCUUCACCAAACAGAGCAAAGGGUACCAUGACUAUGAGAAGUAAGUGCAAGAGGAAAAAGAGGGCCAUCUCGACUGCUUGAAGUGCUAGGGACUACAGUGGAUAAUUUUUUUUAGAAAAAGUAAGAGAAUUAUUUACAUUUAUAACAUAUGAGUGGAAAAGGUGUCCUUCUCUAGUGGAAAUUUUACUAAUAUGUGUGGUACCCUUCCUCAGCAUAAGUUUUGGACUGAGGUGAUUGUAUGUUUGAUCCGUCUACUCUCUACACUUCAAAAUAUUAAGAGAAGACUUACUGACUUGUGUUUCUUUGUGUAGACUUGGACUUGGUCUUUUAUUCAAUAACUUGACUUUUCUUCAUAUUAACAGAAGUGCUUUACUGUAGCACAAGAAGGGGAGGGAGGAUGAAAUAUAUUUGAUAUAAUUGACUCAAACUUUCAGUGUUUGGAACCAGUACUAAAAAGAGUAAAACCCACAAAAACAUACGCACAAUUAACCAUAAUAAUGUCUGGAAGAACCAGGUUUCUUACAUUUCUUACCAUCCUCAUCUUCAAUGAGUUCAACUGAGUCAGUGAAGCUGCUCGAGAGUUGUUUCUGAUUCUGCAAUAAUAGAUGUAAUUAUUGGUUGACAUGUGAGUACCACAAACUGUAACUUCACAUUAUGUAAUAUCUUUAUGUAACUUUCUAUUUGUCUUUUAUGCCUUUAUGUAUAAGGAACAUGGUUUUUGCAAAAUAGAGUAAUGGGAGUUGUAAAAGAAAGUGUGGUUUUCCCUAUGACUUAUUGUUCAGUCUCCCCAUAUUGUUUCUCUUACUAUGAAAGGAUGUUCCAGAAUUAUCUUUCCAGGAAUGUGCAAAUAGCAGGGGUGAUUUACAGGAAUGGCCCAAGGGGAUGGUCUUUAAAUAUUGUCUCCCUUUUUGAAUGUACUAACAAAAAAAUCUCCAAAACCGCAUAGCUCUUUAUGGAUUUAUCUACCGGAUCAGUUGAGUUUAUGCUAUAUUUACUUUACCUAUAUUGUUAAUUGUUCACAAGCUCUAUCCUUUUGUGAUUGUUCGUUUACCAAGCUCAAC
rnacentral:lncRNA from 1 species